CUCGACGGCUACGAACAAAACGGACGUGGUGAUUAGAUUGGUAUAUGUAUCUUGCAAUUUGCGAUUGAAGAAUCACGAAAAAUAAAAACCGCGCUUUCAAAGACUCUGAGAACAGAUGCCUCGUACAUCGGGACGACGAUAACUCGAUACCUUUAAUGAAAAUUACGUAUCAGGAUUUAUAAGGCUCGCGGGAGACGGUAUUUAUCAGGCGUUUUCGAGCCAUCAGUGGAGACAAUAGUCGCGACGUUGUAAGAUCAUUCCCCUUUCACGAGACAGUGCAACGACAUUCUUCUAUUGGGGAGGUGCCUCUCUGCAUAACGUAUAUCCCCGUCUCCCACAAAUACCGCCGUCGCCGCAUACACGAUUACACACUAAUGCUCCUCUGCACUCGUACAUAGCGCACGUUGCUCGCUGUAUGGCUAAGUAAUCUACGCGAAUGGCAAUAAAGGGGGACUUAGGGAAACCCCAGACAAAUGCCUAGAAGCAUUGUAGAAAUGCCUGACAGACGCUUCAAUCCCUCCGAUGAUCUUUCGAAGUUUUCAGACGUCUCUUAGACUUUGUUUACUUGAAGGCUCCAUUCAAUGAAGUGCUUUGUCAAAGCCAGAUCAAGAGAGAACGAAGGAUCUGUUAUAUAUAUGUCACGUUGCGUAAAUAAAAAGUAGAAGU